AUGAAAUGUAACUUCUGUUUUUGUCCCCACAGUUCUUCACUCUGUACACUAGAAUUUCUCAGAGGUGUUUGGGCUGAAUGCGAGGAUGAAACCUGCUUUGUCCUGUGAGCUGUGGUUCUUCUUGUUCUUUCCACUCCUCUCCAAUGGACAAGCUCAAGAUGCUGUGCUGACGACUGACCCCAACUGGUCCACUUUUUUUAUUGGAGAGUCUGUGACCUUCAUAUGUGACAUGAAUGAAGGAGAAGAUACAGACUGGCAAUACAAGCUCAAGAAGGAUGGACGAGAAUUUUUUGCCUACAAUAUGUAUGAAAGCGACACAUUACGACUUCUGUCUACAGACUACAGUGGUGAUUAUCAGUGUGUUGGUCACAGUAUACGCUCCCGUUAUUCAAAGAACAGC